UACGUAGGGGGCAAGCGUUAUCCGGAUUUACUGGGUGUAAAGGGAGCGUAGGUGGCAUGGUAAGCCAGAAGUGAAAACCCAGGGCUCAACUCUGUGGAUUGCUUUUGGAACUAUCAAGCUAGAGUGCUGGAGGGGUAAGCGGAAUUCCUAGUGUAGCGGUGAAAUGCAUAGAUAUCGCGCAGAACUCCGAUUGCGAAGGCAGCAUGCCGGCUCCACACUGACGCUGAGGCACGAAAGCGUGGGUAUCGAACAGG
rnacentral:rRNA from 1 species